UCUGGCGGCUUUAGCGCGGUGGUCCCACCUGACCCCAUGCCGAACUCAGAAGUGAAACGCCGUAGCGCCGAUGGUAGUGUGGGGUCUCCCCAUGUGAGAGUGCCAGACAUCAAAC
rnacentral:rRNA from 1 species